GAUGAACGCUGGCGGCGUGCCUAAUACAUGCAAGUCGAGCGAACGGACGAGAAGCUUGCUUCUCUGAUGUUAGCGGCGGACGGGUGAGUAACACGUGGAUAACCUACCUAUAAGACUGGGAUAACUUCGGGAAACCGGAGCUAAUACCGGAUAAUAUUUUGAACCGCAUGGUUCAAAAGUGAAAGACGGUCUUGCUGUCACUUAUAGAUGGAUCCGCGCUGCAUUAGCUAGUUGGUAAGGUAACGGCUUACCAAGGCAACGAUGCAUAGCCGACCUGAGAGGGUGAACGGCCCCACUGGAACUGAGAAACGGUCCAGACUCCUACGGGAGGCAGCAGUAGGGAAUCUUCCGGAAUGGGCGAAAGCCUGACGGAGCAACGCCGCGUGAGUGAUGAAGGUCUUCGGAUCGUAAAACUCUGUUAUUAGGGAAGAACAUAUGUGGAAGUAACUGUGCACAUCUUGACGGUACCUAAUCAGAAAGCCACGGCUAACUACGUG
rnacentral:rRNA from 1 species